ensembl:lincRNA 5330434G04Rik RIKEN cDNA 5330434G04 gene
GUCCCCCACUGGUCUUCUGAGCAGACUUGACGCAGUUUCAUCUCAUUCCUGAGGUAUCCUGAGCCCCUCAGUGCCAUACUUCUGCGUGAGUGCUGUGAACUGGAGCAAAUGGGUUGAAAAUGGCCAGAAGUUGCUCUUGGUCUCUUUAGAUCUUUUAUGACAAAGAAAAAAAUUGAAUUUCUGACCAGUUAAAAUCCAUUUGAGCCAGUUUAAGCUAAUUAUGCAGAACUGGAGCCUGAGGUCGGUAAAUCCAGGAAGAUGGCUGAAUACUAUGCUGACUCAAGUACAGACAAGGAGCCAGAUGAGAAAACCAAGGCUCCAAGAGCUUCUGUAACUUGUCCAAGACCAUGCAGUUAGUGCACAGUGAGGCACAGAAUCAGUUGUAGAAGCACUUCAGGGAAUUCGGAUACUAUUUUGUGGCCUGGCAAGAUCAGCAGCCUUACUAUCUUAGUCCCUGCCAGUCAUCAGCUUCUGGUUUCCCUGUUAUCCUGCUGCUCCCUAGAAUGCAGCUAUUAAGUGGCCUAAGAGCCAGCACCUUCACGGAGUAGCAAAGAGGAAAGUCCAUUUGAGGACAGAGCGAGAAGACGAUGGUUAUCCACAAGCCAGAAAAAGAAGCCUCACCAGAAAUCCUGAUACUCUGAGUUUGGGUUUUCAAGCCCCUACAACUUCGAGACAAUGAAUAUCUUCUUUACAGUCUAUGAUAUCUUGUUUGGUAGACCAAGGAGACUAAUCUAUUACUUAAUAUUGGGAACAUUACUUAGAAGCUAAUGAUCUUCGAAAAUGGUAAAGUUAUUUAUGUUUGCUACUUUCAUUCUUCCUUUCCUCUGUUGAGCCAUUUAAAACAAUGAUACUGGCACUCAUUUCUCUUUACCUUUCAGUAUUUGAUUUCUAACAGAUGGCUAAGGUCUGACAAACACUGUCUUGAUAAUACACUACAGAGCGUUAGAGACAGACCCAGAUUUCCAUCCAAAGAGAGUAUUCUAAGCUUGGGUGGUGGCAAUGGAGCACUCUGACCUGUGAAGCACCAUUCUUUGAAGGCUUCUUUUGUGAUCCUCUUUAGAUCACAGUUUGGAACUGAGUUACAGACUAGAUCAUAUCUCCUCAUUCGCUCCAUUUGAUCUUUCUUCCCUCAUUAAUUCCAAAGUAUGCAAGCUAUAUGCUUUCUAGUGUUUUUCCCCCUUCACAGCCAUUGUCUAGGCACCAAAAAUAGAGAUGGAAAGAGACAGGUUUAAUCCAAAGCACCAGUUUCCAUUACCUUAAGCUUCCUCAAUGAUUUUUCUGAUGAGAUGAAAUUUCUUAUACUUGGUCUCAGGCCCAAGGUAUAUGCAAUACGUCAAUGAAAUUGAUUGCGACACAUUGAAGUGAGUGCCUGGGAACUAUGAGUUCCUUAACU